CGUACUUUUCAGAAAUUCCUUUCACUGUCCCAGAAACGUGCAUCGCUUCUCAUUUUCAUUCAUUCUCUCUAUUAUAUAACACAGAAUAUAUACAUCAAUACAGAGCCAUUUCUGUCUCUCUCUUCCCUUUGAGUUUUCUGAUCAGUAAUAUUCCCAUUCUUUUAAAAGCAGAAGCUCAAGAAAUGAAGGUUCUUAUUCUUGAUUCCACACAUGAUGCUGUCCGCUUUUGAUUCAGUUUUAAUUUCUUUCCCCUUUUUGCUCUGAUUCUUUAUGAGAUCUCUUUAAAACGGCAUGUUUAGUUAUUAUUCAAUUUAAAGAAUGAUUCUUUCUUUAAAUCCACUAUAAAAUCUUGCAUGUCGACACCUUUUAGGUAGUUUUCAUUUUGAACACCCUUUAUUUUAAAUUCUUGAAUUUUUUACGGUUCUGAAAUUUUAUUCUCCCUAUGAAUGUGUAAAUUCUCGACAUUUUGCACCACAAAAUAAGAGAUUUUCACGUUUAUUUUCAUCUGGCUUAGCUAGAUGUUGCAAAAUGGUUUAGUUCUGAUUAAGAUUUUUGAUCUUUUAUUCCUCAUUUCUCAUAUUUUAUUUAUUUAUUUUGCAGAAAUAUAUCUUGAAGUUGGACUUACAAGACGCAAAAGACAAGAGGAGGGCCCUAAAAACUGUUUCCACUGUGUCAGGUAUGAGGAGAGAAUUCUAGUUCUACUUUUUGUUCACCCUUAUUUUGUCAUAGGCACAACGAUUGGUGAAUUAUUGCUUAAGUUGGGAUUUUUUACCUUGAUAUGCCGCGGUUGGUAAGGAUCUACUUGUUUUAUAGUUUCUAGUAGAUUUGACAACAAAUAGAGUGAAGAAAAAUUGUUCAUUUAGGCAGUUUAACUCCAUUAUUUUUUACCUCAAAAAGGAGUGAAUUGUCAAAAAGGAGUGAAUUGUCCAAAUAGUCACUGAACUUUGUAAAAAGUUUUCGAAAGGUCACUGAAAUUUGAAAAUCACCUAAAUGGUCACUAAACUUUACAAAAGGUUCCUACGGGAUCACCGAACUUUAAAAAGCACAUAAAUGGUCACUGAACAUUGCAAAAAAUUUUCACGAAGUCAUUGAACUUUGCAAAAGGUUUUCUCGAGAUCAUUGAAUUCAGUGAUUCCUAGGAAACAUUUCCCAAAGUUCAGUGACCUCGUAGAAACCUUUUACAAAAUUCAAUGACCAUUUAGGUGAUUUUCAAAGUUCAGUGAUCAUUUGGACAAUUCACUCCUAACCUUUCUUUCCCCUUGUUCUUGGUUAGUCUUUUCGAUCAUAUAAUUACUGGAUGGACUAUUGUAGGCUUAAUGGAAUUUUAUUAAUGCUAGAGAUGAAAUUAACAACUAAAAAAUAGUUUUUCACCAACGGAAAAUUAUCAACGGAUUGCAUCCGUUGGUAAUUAAAAACGAAUUAUCUAUUGAUAAAAGUUAUUCACUUUCAGCUACGAUAAUCAACAACAAAUUUUUCGUUGGUAACGAUGAUAUCUCUUUACCAACGGAUAUUCCAUGCCUUAUGUAAUUACUAUAUGGAUCUUUCACCUACAGAAUAUCCGUAGGUGACGUACUAAAUAUUACCAACGAAUAACGGAUGCAAUCCGUUGGCAAUUCGAAACGGAUUAUCCAUUUGUAAAAGCAAUUCACUUUCAACUACGAUAAUCAGCAAUAGAUUUUUCAUUGGUAACGAUGAUAUCUCUUUACCAACGGACAUUCCGUGCCUCAUGUAAUCGUUUAACAUUUGAAUUUUUCACCUACGGAUAUUUCGUUGUG
rnacentral:lncRNA from 1 species